rnacentral:rRNA from 1 species
UAACGCGUGGAUAAUCUGCCCGAGGAUUUGGGAUAACAUCUCGAAAGGGGUGCUAAUACCGAAUAAGCCCACGGGGUCUACGGAUCUUGCGGGAAAAGGGGGGGACCUUCGGGCCUCCUGUCCUUGGAUGAGUCUGCGUACCAUUAGCUAGUUGGUGGGGUAAUGGCCUACCAAGGCGACGAUGGUUA